GAGCGGCGGACGGGUGAGUAAUGCCUAGGAAUCUGCCUGGUAGUGGGGGAUAACGUUCGGAAACGGACGCUAAUACCGCAUACGUCCUACGGGAGAAAGCAGGGGACCUUCGGGCCUUGCGCUAUCAGAUGAGCCUAGGUCGGAUUAGCUAGUUGGUGAGGUAAUGGCUCACCAAGGCGACGAUCCGUAACUGGUCUGAGAGGAUGAUCAGUCACACUGGAACUGAGACACGGUCCAGACUCCUACGGGAGGCAGCAGUGGGGAAUAUUGGACAAUGGGCGAAAGCCUGAUCCAGCCAUGCCGCGUGUGUGAAGAAGGUCUUCGGAUUGUAAAGCACUUUAAGUUGGGAGGAAGGGCAUUAACCUAAUACGUUAGUGUUUUGACGUUACCGACAGAAUAAGCACCGGCUAACUCUGUGCCAGCAGCCGCGGUAAUACAGAGGGUGCAAGCGUUAAUCGGAAUUACUGGGCGUAAAGCGCGCGUAGGUGGUUUGUUAAGUUGGAUGUGAAAUCCCCGGGCUCAACCUGGGAACUGCAUUCAAAACUGACUGACUAGAGUAUGGUAGAGGGUGGUGGAAUUUCCUGUGUAGCGGUGAAAUGCGUAGAUAUAGGAAGGAACACCAGUGGCGAAGGCGACCACCUGGGACUAAUACUGACACUGAGGUGCGAAAGCGUGGGGGAGCAAACAGGAUUAGAUACCCUGGUAGUCCACGCCGUAAACGAUGUCAACUAGCCGUUGGGAGCCUUGAGCUCUUAGUGGCGCAGCUAACGCAUUAAGUUGACCGCCUGGGGAGUACGGCCGCAAGGUUAAAACUCAAAUGAAUUGACGGGGGCCCGCACAAGCGGUGGAGCAUGUGGUUUAAUUCGAAGCAACGCGAAGAACCUUACCAGGCCUUGACAUCCAAUGAACUUUCUAGAGAUAGAUUGGUGCCUUCGGGAACAUUGAGACAGGUGCUGCAUGGCUGUCGUCAGCUCGUGUCGUGAGAUGUUGGGUUAAGUCCCGUAACGAGCGCAACCCUUGUCCUUAGUUACCAGCACGUAAUGGUGGGCACUCUAAGGAGACUGCCGGUGACAAACCGGAGGAAGGUGGGGAUGACGUCAAGUCAUCAUGGCCCUUACGGCCUGGGCUACACACGUGCUACAAUGGUCGGUACAGAGGGUUGCCAAGCCGCGAGGUGGAGCUAAUCCCACAAAACCGAUCGUAGUCCGGAUCGCAGUCUGCAACUCGACUGCGUGAAGUCGGAAUCGCUAGUAAUCGCGAAUCAGAAUGUCGCGGUGAAUACGUUCCCGGGCCUUGUACACACCGCCCGUCAUACCAUAAAAGGGGGCG
rnacentral:rRNA from 1 species